rnacentral:rRNA from 1 species
UACGUAGGGUGCGAGCGUUGUCCGGAAUUAUUGGGCGUAAAGAGCUCGUAGGCGGUUCCGUAAGUCGCGAAGUCAAAUCUCUGGGCUCAACCCAGAAUCGCUUCCGAUACUGCGGUGACUGGAGUCCGGUAGGGGAGUGUGGAAUUCCUGGUGUAGCGGUGAAAUGCGCAGAUAUCAGGAGGAACACCAACAGCGGAAGGCAGCACUCUGGGCCGGUAACUGACGCUG